AUUGAACGCUAGCGGGAUGCUUUACACAUGCAAGUCGAACGAGUGGCGGACGGGUGAGUAAUAUAUCUGAACGUGCCCAGUAGCGGGGGAUAACUACUCGAAACAGUGGCUAAUACCGCAUAAUCUCGGAUCCACCGAUAUCGGAUUAGCUAGUUGGUGGGGUAAAGGCUCACCAAGGCAACGAUCCGUAGCUGGUUUGAGAGGACGACCAGCCACACUGGGACUGAGACACGGCCCAGACUCCUACGGGAGGCAGCAGUGGGGAAUUUUGGACAAUGGGGGAAACCCUGAUCCAGCCAUCCCGCGUGUAUGAGAAGGCCUUCGGGUUGUAAAGUACUUUUGGCAGAGAAGCGGUAUCUGCAGAAUAAGCACCGGCUAACUACGUGCCAGCAGCCGCGGUAAUUC
rnacentral:rRNA from 1 species